rnacentral:rRNA from 1 species
AGCGACGAACCAGGGCUUGCCCUGGGGCAGAGCCGCGAACGGGUGAGUAACACGUGGGUUACCUGCCCCGAUGACCGGGACAACCCGAGGAAACUCGGGCUAAUACCGGAUGUGCCCGCAAGGGGAAAGGAAGCUUCGGCCUCCGCAUCGGGAUGGGCCCGCGGCCCAUUAGCUUGUUGGUGAGGUAACGGCUCACCAAGGCUGCGAUGGGUAGCUGGUCUGAGAGGACGAUCAGCCACACUGGGACUGAGACACGGCCCAGACUCCUACGGGAGGCAGCAGUGGGGAAUCUUGCGCAAUGCGCGAAAGCGUGACGCAGCAACGCCGCGUGGGGGAAGAAGGCUUUCGGGUUGUAAACCCCUUUCAGUUGGGACGAAGCCUCGGCGGUGAAUAGCCGUCUGAGGUGACGGUACCUUCACAAGAAGCACCGGCUAACUACGUGCCAGCAGCCGCGGUAAUACGUAGGGUGCAAGCGUUGUCCGGAAUUAUUGGGCGUAAAGAGCGUGUAGGCGGCUUGGUAAGUCUGCUGUGAAAGUCCAGGGCUCAACCCUGGAAAGCCGGUGGAUACUGUC